rnacentral:ncRNA from 1 species
UAAAAUAUUUCAUUGAUGUACAAAGUUAACUAUGCCAAUUAAACUGCAUAUGGUAGCCCACGCACAUUGUGUAUACGACUUUCUCUUAAUAAAGCUUUUAAAAAGCCAACUAAGAAAAACUCAACAAUCAUUUAUUUAAAAUGUUCAAAUACUUCACAACACCAAUGUUCUAUAUUAUACUAGCUAGGAAACUAGGCCAUAGAAAACAAGCAAAAGGGGUGGCAAAAUUGGUGCCAGCAGUCGCGGUUAUACCAGUACCCCAAGCUAAUUUCACCAAAUCGGAAUAAGCUUAAAACUUCCAAGACUACAAGAUUAACUUUUAACGUAGAAAGUAAAUUAAAACUAAACCCUACCCAGUCAUAAACUUAUUAUUCCAACAAACCACAACCUCAGAACUCAGAUUAGAUACCCGACUACUGUGUGGCUCAACAUAAAAAAGAAUACUACGAGCGAAAGCUUAAACCUCAAACAAUGUGGCGGUGCUUUACUCCUCAUCAGGGGAUCCUGUGGCUUAAUUCGAUAAUCCACGAAAAUCUUAGCUAUUAUUGCACUACAGCUUGUGUAUGGCCGUUUAUGCUUGCUCAAAAGAAGAUAAAGAAGGAAGCAAUAGGAAUAACCACCCUAAAAUUCAGGUGACAUACAGCCAAUUGGUAGCAGAUCCAUGGGAUACAAAUAAAUAUACUAUCGGAUUUAAAGUUUUAAACUUUAAUAAAGGAGGACUUGAAAGUAAGACUUAACAAUUACACAAAAUAAAUCUGAAUAAGAACUAAAGUGCGCACAAAUCGCCCGUCACUCCGACAACAAAGUCGGAUAAGUCGUAACAUAGUAGGGGUAAUGGAAAUUGCCCCUAUAACA